rnacentral:rRNA from 1 species
GUGCCAGCAGCCGCGGUAAUACGGAGGGUGCGAGCGUUAAUCGGAAUUACUGGGCGUAAAGCGUACGUAGGUGGUUUGUUAAGUUAAGUGUGAAAUCCCUGGGCUUAACCUAGGAACUGCAUUUAAAACUGACAAGCUAGAGUCUCGUAGAGGGGGGAUAGAAUUCCAGGUGUAGCGGUGAAAUGCGUAGAGAUCUGGAGGAAUACCGAAGGCGAAGGCAACCCCCUGGGCCAUCACUGGCACUGAGGCACGAAAGCGUGGGGAGCAAACAGGAUUAGAUACCCCAGUAGUCC